CGAAGGGGGCGAGCGUUGUUCGGAAUCACUGGGCGUAAAGAGUGCGUAGGCGGUUAUGAAAGUUAGAAGUGAAAGCCCAGGGCUCAACCUUGGAAUUGCUUUUAAAACUACAUAACUCGAAUUCGGGAGAGGAUAGCGGAAUUGUCAGUGUAGCAGUGAAAUGCGUAGAUAUUGACAGGAACACCAGUGGCGUAAGCGGCUAUCUGGACCGACAUUGACGCUGAGGCACGAAAGCGUGGGGAUCAAACAGGAUUAGAUACCCUGGUAGUCCACGCCGUAAACGAUGUGUGUUUGUCGCUGGGGAGUUUACUCUUCGGUGACGGAGCUAACGCAUUAAGCACACCGCCUGGGAAGUACGGUCGCAAGAUUA
rnacentral:rRNA from 1 species